GACGAACGCUGGCGGCGUGCUUAACACAUGCAAGUCGAACGGAAAGGCCCUGCUUUUGUGGGGUGCUCGAGUGGCGAACGGGUGAGUAACACGUGAGUAACCUGCCCUUGACUUUGGGAUAACUUCAGGAAACUGGGGCUAAUACCGGAUAGGAGCUCCUGCUGCAUGGUGGGGGUUGGAAAGUUUCGGCGGUUGGGGAUGGACUCGCGGCUUAUCAGCUUGUUGGUGGGGUAGUGGCUUACCAAGGCUUUGACGGGUAGCCGGCCUGAGAGGGUGACCGGCCACAGUGGAACUGAGACAGGGAGCAGAGGCCUACGGGAGGCAGGAGUCGGGAAUCGGAGGCAGUGGGCGGAAGCCUGACGGAGCAACGGCGCGUGAGUGACGAAGGUGCUCGGAUCGGAAAACGGGGGUAUGAGGGAAGAACAGAUGUGUAAGGAACGGUGGACAGCUUGACGGUAAGGAAUAAGAAAGCAACGGCUAACUACGUG
rnacentral:rRNA from 1 species